CGCCUCUUGCUAAAUAAGAAUAAGAGGUCCCGCCUGCCCUGUGACUUAGUGUUUAACGGCCGCGGUAUUUUGACCGUGCAAAGGUAGCGUAAUCACUUGUCUUUUAAAUAAAGACCUGUAUGAAUGGCACAACGAGGGCUAAACUGUCUCCUUACCUUAAUCAAUGAAAUUGAUUUUCCCGUGCAGAAGCGGGAAUUAAAAUAUAAGACGAGAAGACCCUAUGGAGCUUUAAACAAAUUUGAUUUAUUAAAAGUAUACGAUAUAAAAUAAAAUAAAUAUCAUUAUAUGUUUUUAGUUGGGGCGACCGCGGAGUAUUAAAAAACCUCCGUGAGGAUUGAGGUAAUCUCUUAAAACUAAGAAAAACACUUCAAAGUAUUAAAAUAUUUAACCUAAAGAUCCGGUAAUACCGAUUAACGAAUUUAGUUACCCUAGGGAUAACAGCGCAAUCCUUUUUAAGAGCCCAUAUCGACAAAAGGGUUUACGACCUCGAUGUUGGAUCAGGAUAUCCUAAUGGUGUAGCAGCUAUUAAAGGUUUGUUUGUUCAACAAUUAAAAUCCU
rnacentral:rRNA from 1 species